UUCGGGGACAAUCUCUUGUGUUCAGGAGAACCCUAGAAUCACCUGUGAUGUCACCAGUGUUGUGGUGACACCAGCAGCCUAUGGAGAAUCCCUUUAGAGCCUAUUAGUUUUGCAAGCAGGCAUGUUGUUCAGGCUGCUUAGGCUAUUUUGAAGUGAGAAUGGAAAACAAGGAGAGGCCAUAUCAAGACAGAAGAAGGCUGACCUUCUAUCAUGCUGUAGAACAACAAGAAAGAAAUGGUCCUGGGGAAGGUCCAGAUCUACUGGAAGGCAUCAUCCCAACCCUCCACCAUCUCUAAGGAGGAGGAGAGGUUGAAGAGGUUGGAGAAUCUGACAAUCUCCAGAAGAUGACAAAUGGGAGGGAUGAACUCUGGGGAAUCCUGGCCCAUUACACUAACAAGGAUUUGAACAACAACAGAUCUCAACUUCUCCCCUAAGAAGCAGUAUGUAAGCUAAGUGCCACCAUGAUGGGCACCACAGCACGAGGUAGAGCCUGGACUGCCACCGUGAGAGAUGGGCACCACCGCACAAGUUACAGCCUGGACUUCAGGAGACCGUGUCUACUCCUUUAUCUUUGAAUAAGGACCAUUGGAAGGACGUUAGGGCUAGAGGACGAAAUUUGUCAGUAAUAGUGAAGAAAAAGCCAUGGAUGACUUUCUGCUCCUCGGAAUGGCCUGUUUUUGGAGUAGGUUGGCCACCGGAACAUUUUACUUACCCACCAUAAGGGCUAUGAAGGCCAUUGUUUUUCAGGAAGGGCCAGGGUCGCAUCCAGAACAGCACCCAUACAUGACAGUAUGGGAGGACUUGGCAUGCUACCCACCCCCGUGGGUUCACCCAUUCCUCCCACCUCUCUGCCCUGGCACCAAGAUCCUAGCCAUCUGAGAAAAUGCUGAGAAAGAGAAACCAAAACCACCGCUCGGGGGAGAUGAUGAACACAGCACACCAGUGAUGAAACUCCUCAAGAUCUAUCCAGAGAUUGAAGAACCCCCUGAGUGGCCCGACACCCCUUAACCCCCCACCGUAUGCUCCCCAGCUCCAACCUUCAGCUUCCUCGGGACCUCUGCCUCAGGCCUGGGCAGGAGGAGAGGGUCCCUCCACAGGAACAAGGAGCUGGCGAGGAGUCACCCCUGAGGGGCCUGCUGAUUCAACCGUGGCACUUCCACUCAGGGCUAUUGGGGCUCCCCCUGCUGAUCCGGAUAGUCUGCAGCCCUUACAGUAUUGGCCUUUUUCCUCUUCUGAUCUCUAUAAUUGGAAAGCUAAUCACCCUCCUUUUUCAGAGAACCCCGCAGGACUCAUAGGGUUGGUCGAAUCACUAAUGUAUUUGCACCAGCCGACCUGGGAUGACUGCCAACAGCUUCUGUAGACCUUAUUCACCACAGAGGAGAGAGAAAGGAUUUUCCUCGAGGCUCAGAAAAACAUCCGAGAUGAGGUUGGGCAGCCUGUCCAACCUCCAGCCAAGAUAGUUGAAGGAUUCCCGCUAACCCAACCCCGAUGGGAUUACAAUACAGCACAAGGUAGGGAACGACUGUCCAAUUAUCACCGGGCCCUAGAGGUGGGUAUCAGAGGUGCUACUUGGCGGCCCAUGAAUCUGGCCAAGGUAGGAGAGGUUAUGCAGUGAGCAACUGAGCACCCCUCAGUCUUCCUCGAAAGGCUCAUGGAGGCUUACAGAAGAUAUAUCCUAUUUGAUCCCACAUCAGAGGGUCAAAGGGCCUGUGAUUAUGGCCUUCAUUGGCCAGUCGGUUCCCCACAUUAGAAAGAAGUUACAGCGAAUUGAGGGCUUGCAGGAUUAUACCAUGAGGGAUGUAGUUAGAGCAGCAGAGAAAGUGUAUCAUAAGAGAGAAACAGAAGAUGAAAACUUAGAGAGAGAAAAGAGGAUGAGGAUAGGAGAGACAGGAGACAGGAAAAGGUUUUGACUAGGAUACUGGCCACAGUAAGAGAAAGAGAUAAAGGGAGAAGAGGUAGACAGUUAGGGAACCUGGGAGACAGAAGAUACCAGGGACCAAGGAGACCCAGAGAAGGCAGACAGCACCUGGAGAGGAAGCAAUGCGCAUAUUGCAAGGAAAUGGGCCACUGGAUGAGUGACUGUCUGAAAAAGAAGCAAGAGGUGAAGGUGCUUUCUCUUGGAGAAGAUGAAGACUCGGAGAAACAGGGCUCGGCCCCCCUCCCCAAGCCUAGGGUAACUUUAGAAGUUGAGGGGACCCCUGUGGACUUUCUAGUCGACACUGGGGCAGAAUUUUCAGUACUCAAGACACCACUAGGAAAAGUGAAGAAAAACGAAAAAACCUUGGUGAUCGGGACCAUGGGACAAAAAUCGUAUCCAUGGACCACAUCCUGAAUAGUAGACAUAGGGCAAAAACAAGUAACUCAUUCGUUUCUAGUCAUUCCAGAGUGUCCUAUGCCCUUAUUGGGGAGAGACUUACUAACCAAUUAAAAGCACAAAUAACUUUUACCUCUCAUCGACCAGAGGUAUCCUGGGGAAUGAAAGCACCCCAGACUCUAGAGCUAACUUUACAACUAGGAAAAGAAUAUCGACUCUACCAAAGUAAAGUGAAGCCCCCUGAGGGAUUAAAGGACUGGUUGAAUCGAUACCCUAAGGUGUGGGCAGAGACAGGAGGAAUGGGCAUGGCAAAACAGGUUCCUCCUGUGGUGAUUGAACUUAAGUCCGGGGCCACCCCUAUAGGGGUCUGACAAUAUCCCAUGAGCAAAGAAGCUCAAGAGGGUAUACGCCCCCAAAUCAACAAACUGCUCCAACAAGGGAUUUUGGUCCCAUGCAAAUCCCCUUGGAACACUCCUCUACUUCCUGUAAAAAAAAAAAAAAAACUAGGGACCUGUGACCUGUGAUCCAGUUCAGGAUCUUAGAGAAGUCAACAAGAGGGUUCAAGACAUACACCCCAUGGUGCCAAAUCCUUAUAACCUCCUCAGCACCUUGUCACCUGGUUGGACGUGGUACACAGUCCUAGAUCUCAAAGACGCUUUCUUCUGUUUGAGGUUACAUCCCAACAGCCAGCCUUUGUUCGCUUUUGAAUGGCGAGAUUCUGAGAGUGGACAAGCUGGACAGCUCACAUGGACGAGGUUGCCUCAGGGAUUCAAGAACUCGCCCACCUUGUUUGAUGAAGCCCUACACCGAGACCUUGCCCCCUUCCGAGCCAGUAACCCACAGGUGACUCUUCUGCAGUAUGUAGAUGACCUCCUACUAGCUGCAGAAACAUGUGAGGACUGUGAAACUGGGACUCAAAACCUCCUGGUCGAGCUAGGUUAGCUGGGGUAUCGGGUCUCUGCUAAAAAGGCUCAGUUAUGCCGGACAGAAGUGACCUACUUAGGAUAUGUUCUGAGAGAUGGACAACAGUGGCUCACAGAAGCCAGAAAACAAGCCGUUAUGCAGAUCCUGGCCCCAACCACUGCUAGCCAGGUAAGAGAGUUCCUGGGGACUGCUAGGUUUUAUAGACUCUGGAUUCCCAAAUUUGCCACUCUGGCAGCCCCAUUGUACCCAUUAACCAAAGAAAAAGGAGAGUUCAUCUGGACCAGAGAACAUCAGCUAGUCUUUCAAACUCUCAAAAAGGCGCUACUGCAGGCUCCAGCAUUGGCCCUGCCAGAUGUGAGCAAGCCUUUUACCGUAUACAUUGAUGAAAGAAAUGGGGUGGCAAGGGGAGUCCUUACCCAUGUUUUGGGGCCAUGGAAGCACCCAGUAGCCUACUUAUCAAAGAAGCUGGACCCUGUGGCCAGCGGAUGGCCCUCCUGCCUGCAAGUGAUAGCAGCCACGGCUGUGCUAGUAAGAGAUGCUUACAAACUGACUAUGGGCCAGAAUGUUACCAUAAUGGCCCCGCACUCUCUUGAGAGCAUUGUCAGGUAACCACUGGACCGCUGGAUGACUAACACCAGAAUGACGCACUACCAGAGCCUAUUGCUGACAGAGCAAGUAAGUUUUGCACCCCCAGCCAAUCUCAACCCUGCUACUUUACUACCUGGGGUUGACGAGGCCCCUGCACAUAAGUGUGAGGAAAUACUGGCAGAAGAGACUGGAAUCUGGCCAGACUUCACAGACCAACAUUGGCCAGGGGAGAUGACCUGGUUCACUGAUGGAAGCAGCUUCAUGGUAGAAGGUAAGCGGAGGGCUGGGGCAGCAUUAGUGGAUUAGUGGAAAGUCUGUCAUAUGGGCCAGCAGCCUGACGGAGGGUACAUCAGCUCAAAAAGCAGAACUUAUCUCACUAAUUCAAGCCUUAAGGCUGGCAGAAGGAAGGACUCUUAAUGUCUAUACCGUCAGCCGGUAUGCUUUUGCCACGGCCCAUGUUCACAAAGCAAUAUACCAACACCAUGGACUGCUAACGUCUGCCGGCAAGGAUAUCAAAAAUAAAGAAGAAAUUCUCAGCUUAUUAGAAGCUGUCCAUCUGUUCCAUAGAGUGGCAAUUAUCCAUUGCCCAGGACACCAGAAGGGAACGGGGCCCGCUGAAAAGGGAAACCAAAUGGCAGACCAAGAAGCCAAAAAAGCAGCCCAAGGGCCAAUGACUCUGGUGGCAAGAACCCAACAGCCCGCCAACGAGGAAAUAACUAAAAGAACCCUCACAGAUGAAGAGGGGCGAGAUUACUUAGAUAACAUACACCAUCUGACUCAUUUAGGAACUAAAAAAUUAAUAAAAUUGGUUAGUAAGUCCCCCUAUUACAUUCCUGGAUUAAAAA